rnacentral:rRNA from 1 species
AUUGAACGCUGGCGGCAGGCCUAACACAUGCAAGUCGAACGCGUGGCGGACGGGUGAAUAAUGUCUGGGAAACUGCCUGAUGGAGGGGGAUAAGUACUGGAAACGGUAGCUAAUACCGCAUACCAUCGGAUGUGCCCAGAUGGGAUUAGCUAGGAGGGGGGGUAAAGGCAAACCUAGGCGACGAUCCCUAGCUGUUCUGAGAGGAUGAACAGCCAAACUGGAACUGAGACACGGUCCAGACUCCUACGGGAGGCAGCAGUGGGGAAUAUUGCACAAUGGGCGCAAGCCUGAUGCAGCCAUGCCGCGUGUAUGAAGAAGGCCUUCGGGUUGUAAAGUACUUUCAGCGGGGAGGCGUUACCCGCAGAAGAAGCACCGGCUAACUCCGUGCCAGCAGCCGCGGUAAUUC